rnacentral:rRNA from 1 species
AUGUUCUCGUCGCAGUCGGCGAGUCGCAUCAACAACAUCCGCACCUCCCUCAUCAAUGCGCAGAAGGGAAACCUCUCGGUGGCCUCCUACUUCCCCGCCAUGCGUGGCUAUGCCGAUGAGCUAGCCGCGGCGGGCAAGCCGAUCCAGGACGACGAGCUCAUCUCGUACAUCAUCCAUGGGUUGGAGGCGGACUACCAACCUCUGGUGUCGGCUCUCGACGCCUGA